rnacentral:rRNA from 1 species
ACACAUGCAAGUCGAGGGGCAGCAUCAUCAAAGCUUGCUUUGAUGGAUGGCGACCGGCGCACGGGUGAGUAACACGUAUCCAACCUGCCGACAACACUGGGAUAGCCUUUCGAAAGAAAGAUUAAUACCGGAUGGCAUAAUUAUUCCGCAUGGGAUAAUUAUUAAAGAAUUUCGGUUGUCGAUGGGGAUGCGUUCCAUUAGGCAGUUGGCGGGGUAACGGCCCACCAAACCUACGAUGGAUAGGGGUUCUGAGAGGAAGGUCCCCCACAUUGGAACUGAGACACGGUCCAAACUCCUACGGGAGGCAGCAGUGAGGAAUAUUGGUCAAUGGACGAGAGUCUGAACCAGCCAAGUAGCGUGAAGGAUGACUGCCCUAUGGGUUGUAAACUUCUUUUAUACGGGAAUAAAGUGAGCCACGUGUGGCUUUUUGUAUGUACCGUAUGAAUAAGGAUCGGCUAACUCCGUGCCAGCAGCCGCGGUAAUACGGAGGAUCCGAGCGUUAUCCGGAUUUAUUGGGUUUAAAGGGAGCGUAGGCGGGUUGUUAAGUCAGUUGUGAAAGUUUGCGGCUCAACCGUAAAAUUGCAGUUGAUACUGGCGACCUUGAGUGCAACAGAGGUAGGCGGAAUUCGUGGUGUAGCGGUGAAAUGCUUAGAUAUCACGAAGAACUCCGAUUGCGAAGGCAGCUUACUGGAUUGUAACUGACGCUGAUGCUCGAAAGUGUGGGUAUCAAACAGGAUUAGAUACCCUGGUAGUCCACACAGUAAACGAUGAAUACUCGCUGUUGGCGAUAUACAGUCAGCGGCCA